rnacentral:rRNA from 1 species
UAACCUACCCAUCAGAGGGGGAUAACACUUGGAAACAGGUGCUAAUACCGCACAACAGUUUAUGCCGCAUGGCAUAAGAGUGAAAGGCGCUUUCGGGUGUCGCUGAUGGAUGGACCCGCGGUGCAUUAGCUAGUUGGUGAGGUAACGGCUCACCAAGGCCACGAUGCAUAGCCGACCUGAGAGGGUGAUCGGCCACACUGGGACUGAGACACGGCCCAG